rnacentral:lncRNA from 1 species
GGUUUAUAACCACAUUAAUACAUUUCAUUUAUGAAAACUUAGAAAGAGAAAUAUUUAUUCCAUGACUAUAAUGGAUGAUAAACGAAACUGUCAUGAUAUGUUUGUUUAGUAUAUUGGAGGAGAACUAUAGCUUGGAGGCUUGUAAACAUAUGGAGGAGAGCUGUAGACAUAAGGAGGAGGUGAUGGUGGAGGCUUGUAAACAUAUGGAGGAGAGCUGUAGACAUAAGGAGGAGGUGAUGGUGGAGGCUUGUAAACGUAUGGAGGAGAGCUGUAGACAUAAGG